GAUGAACGCUAACGGGAGGCCUAACACAUGCAAGCCGAGCGGUAUUGUUUCUUCGGAAAUGAGAGAGCGGCGUACGGGUGCGUAACACGUGUGCAACCUGCCUUUAUCUGGGGGAUAGCCUUUCGAAAGGAAGAUUAAUACUCCAUAAUAUAUUGAACGGCAUCGUUUAAUAUUGAAAGCUCCGGCGGAUAGAGAUGGGCACGCGCAAGAUUAGCUAGUUGGUGAGGUAACGGCUCACCAAGGCGAUGAUCUUUAGGGGGCCUGAGAGGGUGAUCCCCCACACUGGUACUGGGACACGGACCAGACUCCUACGGGAGGCAGCAGUGAGGAAUAUUGGUCAAUGGGUGCAAGCCUGAACCAGCCAUCCCGCGUGAAGGACGACUGCCCUAUGGGUUGUAAACUUCUUUUGUAUAGGGAUAAACCUACCCUCGUGAGGGUAGCUGAAGGUACUAUACGAAUAAGCACCGGCUAACUCCGUGCCAGCAGCCGCGGUAA
rnacentral:rRNA from 1 species